CAGCAGCCGCGGGAAUACGAAGGGGGCUAGCGUUGUUCGGAUUUACUGGGCGUAAAGCGCACGUAGGCGGAUCAUUAAGUCAGGGGUGAAAUCCCGAGGCUCAACCUCGGAACUGCCUUUGAUACUGGUGAUCUUGAGUCCGGGAGAGGUGAGUGGAACUGCGAGUGUAGAGGUGAAAUUCGUAGAUAUUCGCAAGAACACCAGUGGCGAAGGCGGCUCACUGGCCCGGAACUGACGCUGAGGUGCGAAAGCGUGGGGAGCAAACAGGAUUAGAUACCCCUGUAGUCCCUGUCUCUUAUAC
rnacentral:rRNA from 1 species